rnacentral:tRNA from 1 species
GGGUCUUUAGUUCAGUUGGUAGAACGUGCGGCUGUUAACCGCAAAGUCGUGGGUUCGAGUCCCACAGGGCCCUCCA